AGUGAAGUGUCUGAAAAAAGAGCGAUUUUGAUAGAAUUGAACAUAUAGGAAACCCUGUCUUCACUG
rnacentral:tRNA from 1 species